rnacentral:rRNA from 1 species
UAUGGAGCUUUAGACACUAAAGCAGCUCAUGUCAAAAACCCUGCAAUAAAAGACCGAACCAAAUGAGCCCUGCCCUAAUGUCUUUGGUUGGGGCGACCGCGGGGAAAUAAAUAACCCCCAUGUGGAAUGGGAUAUACCUCUCCUAAAACUAAGAGCCACAGCUCUAAGCAACAGAACUUCUGACCUAUUAGAUCCGGCAAUGCCGAUCAACGAACCGAGUUACCCUA